AUUGAGGCGAGCGCGUGCUCCGGCGAGCACAUGGGCAGCGGGGCCCGGGCCGCUCCGCUCCGCGCUGCUCGGCCCUGCCUCGGCCCCGGCCUCUGCCCCGCGGCCGGACCGCCGGACCCCUUCCCGGGGAGGGGGGGCGCGGUCACAGCCCCGUGCUUCCCACCGGUCUGGAGUAACGUUUGGAGGAACCUGACAGCGUAGUUCUUUCGGUAGCUCCCAAGGAUUUUUAGGAUCAUGGGAUGUACGGACCUCCAAAACCCGCUGGAGAACAUCAGCUGCAGACAAAAGCAUCUGGAAAUUCCUGCCAUCUCUUUACCCUGUUUUCUCCUGGGUUGCCCCAUGUCAGUUGUUAAGGAAGCCUCUCCGGCCUGAGGAUUAUAGCAAACCGGUCACUUACUGGAAUACCUCCCCUUGCGUUUUCCCAAGAUGGAGCCGUUGCUUUACCCGGCAGAAGGAUAUUAUCUUCUUCUCCCAGAGCUUUCGCUGGGCAGCAGCACUCAUGUCCAGCAGUCUCUGCUAAAGGCAAGACCUUCCAAAGUCCUUGGCACCAUGCUCUGAAGGUGGCUUUUCCUAGUUAGGACACAGACCCUAUUGGACAUAUUUGUGUGGAGAAGUGGGGUCAGCUUCUCCUGAAGGUUUCGAUGUCCAACCUGAGCUUUGCAUCUGAGGAGGGGCAUGGAGGUGCUCAUAUCCACUGCUCCUUAUUCCUUCUCCUGGAUCACCCCAGACCCUCAGGCAGCUGCCUGUUGUGUUUGUAACCCACAGCUGGCACCACCUGUAUGUGGAUCUGCUUAUUGGGCUUCGUCGUAUGGUUUCAAAGUGUGUUGGGUUCGUGUGGCAAGGUUUUGGUAGCGGGGAGGGGCUACAGGGGUGGCUUCUGUGAGAAGCUGCUAGAAGCUUCCCCUGUGUCUGACAGAGCCAAUGCCAGCCAGCUCCAAGAGGGACCCGCCACUGGCCAAGGCCAAGCCAAUCAGCACCUCUGUGAUAACAUAUUUAAGAAGGAAAAAAACAGUUAGAGCUUUUGCAGCCAGAGAGAGGAGUGAGAAGAUGUAAGAAACUCUGCAGACACCAAGGUCAGUGAAGAAAGAGGGGCAGGAGGUGCUCCAGGCGCCAGAGCAGAGAUUCCCCUGCAGCCCAUGGUGAAGACCAUGGUGAGGCAGGCUGUCCCCUGUAGCCCAUGGAGGAAGGAUGAGGGGGUGUAGAGAUUCCACCUGCAGCCCAUGGAGGACCCCACGCCGGAGCAGGUGGAGGCACCUGAAGGACGCUGUGGCCUGUGGGAAGCCCGUGCUGGAGCAAGUUCCUGGCAGGACCUGUGGACCCGUGGAGAGAGAGGAGCCCACGCCAGGGCAGGUUUGCUGGCAGGACUUGUGACCCCAUGGGGGAUCCCACACUGGAGCAUUUUGCUCCUGAAGGUCUGCACCCCAUGGGAGAGACCACGCUGGAGAAGUUCGUGAAGGACUGUCUCCCGUGAGAGGGACUCCAUGCUGGAGCAGGGGAACGAUGAGAGGAGUCCUCCCCCUAAGGAUGAAGAAGCGGCAGAAACAACAUGUGAUGAACUGACCACAACCCCCAUUCCCCGUCCCCCUGUGCCGCUGAGGGGGGAGGAGGUUGAAGCCGGGAGUGAAGUUGAGCCCGGGAAGAUGGGAGGGGUGGGGGGAGGUGUUUUAAGAUUUGAUUUUAUUUCUCAUUCCUCUGCUCUGUUUUGCCUAGUAAUAAAUUAGAUGAAUUCCCUCUC